AGGAGGGCGAUUAGCAGGUGCAAGGGGGAACAGAAAAGCACAGAAAACUGUUUCCACCGUGGAUUCAGGCUUGGGUCUUCCCACUGGAUUAUGAGCUUUAUCAUGUCAUAGCUUAUUAUCACGUUUAAUAUCAUGGCUAAGUUGAUAGCCCUGAGUAUCCCCAAAGCAUAUUCAUUACCUAAAUCACAUUCAUUUGGUGAGUUGCCAAAGAGGAUAGAGAAGAUGACUCUAUUGUUGUAAAAAAUAGAUAUGUAGAUGAUAGAUAGAUAGAUGGAUACACACACACACAGACAGACGGAAAAAAUCUGGAAGGACACAAACUAAAAUGUCAACAAUGGUUAUCUCUGGGUGAAAAAAUGACAGAUGAUUUUUGAUCUCUUCUAGAUUUUGCUUCCCUGUAUUUUCUAAGUUUUCUCUGUGAAGAUGAUUUACAUGUGUGAUUUUUCAACAUUAUUUUGAAAAAAUACUUUCUGGAGAAAAUGCCCCUUUUAAUUAGCAAAAGAUGUGCCUCUUAAGACUCCAGUGCAAGCAGGCAUGCAGGAGACAGGCGCCGUCCGAUAUCGGUGCGGGGAAAGUAAACGGGUACCACCUUCUGGAAGAGAAGCUGGCUGCGGUAUGGAGGGCCUUCUCAUCACAGGAGGGCAGAUGCUAUGAGGCAACUGAGGGUCAUAACAGAAAAGUGUCUAAGAUGCAGAUUCGGCUUCAAAAUUCAAGCCCACCCCAUGCUACUUCUGGACCUGUCCCAUGGAGAAGCCAAAAGCAGUGACCCUCUUCUCUCAGCCACAAGUGAGAGCUUAGCUUUCAGGACUGAGGGGAGAGUUGGUCUGUUUUUAUAACCAAAGCAAGAUGGCAGUGAUGAGUUUUGAAAAUUCUAAAUGAAUGCCAAAUUCAACAUAUAAAGCAAUUACCCACAAUUUUUACCUUUCCAGUGUUUUGAAAGACUGGAUAAUAUCCUUUGCAUGCCCCCAA
rnacentral:lncRNA from 1 species